UACGUAGGGUGCAAGCGUUAAUCGGAAUUACUGGGCGUAAAGGGCUCGUAGGCGGCCAACUAAGUCAGACGUGAAAUCCCUCGGCUUAACCGGGGAACUGCGUCUGAUACUGGAUGGCUUGAGUUUGGGAGAGGGAUGCGGAAUUCCAGGUGUAGCGGUGAAAUGCGUAGAUAUCUGGAGGAACACCGGUGGCGAAGGCGGCAUCCUGGACCGGUUCUGACGCUGAUGCGCGAAAGCGUGGGGAGCAAACGGG
rnacentral:rRNA from 1 species